rnacentral:lncRNA from 1 species
AUGUCUCCAUUCCUGGCCCCACAGAACCGAAGGAAUUAUUUCAUAAUUCUCAUUUUCCUGCUUUUUUCCCCUUUCCUCCUCCUGUUCCCAGAGGAACGCGACCGGAAGAUCACCAAACUUGCUGCUGAAAUCCGAAGAUUCACGGCGCUGCUGGCCGAGCGCGACUCCGGGCUCCGGAAGCUGCAGGCAGAGCUGGGUGAGCGAUGAGGAGAAGUGGGAAAACGAGCCAGAACAGCGAUUUUUAUCGUUUUUUAUUUUUAUUUUAACUCUGGUUCUUGCCUGGAUUUUAAACUUCAAUUCCUUUUCCCUCAGCCAAGUGCGACGCCACCAUCCGUGA